CGCGGUAUUUUGACUGUGCGAAGGUAGCAUAAUCAUUUGUCUUUUAAUUGAAGACUUGUAUGAAUGGCUGAACGAGAAAAUAACUGUCUCUUUAAAAAAAUCUUGAAUUUUACUUUUAAGUGAAAAGGCUUAAAUAAAUUUAAGGGACGAUAAGACCCUAUAAAUCUUUAUAUUAUUUUCUUUAUCUUUCAAAUUAUAUAUUAAAAGAAAAAGAAAGAAAAAGUAUUAUAUUGGGGAGAUAAAAAUAUAAUUUUUUAACUGUUUUAAAUACAAAACAAUAAUUUUUGCUUUAUUAAAAAUUGAUCCUUUUUAAAGAUUUUAAGAUUAAGUUACUUUAGGGAUAACAGCGUAAUUUUUUUUGAGAGUUCUUAUCGAAAAAAAAGUUUGCGACCUCGAUGUUGAAUUAAAAAUAUCCUUAUAAGUGCAGAAGCUAUAAAGGAAAGUCUGUUCGACUUUUAAAAUUUUACAU
rnacentral:rRNA from 1 species